AACGAACGCUGGCGGCAUGCCUAACACAUGCAAGUCGAACGAGACCUUCGGGUCUGGUGGCGCACGGGGGCGUAACGCGUGGGAACCUGCCCUUAGGUUCGGAAUAACUCCCCGAAAGGGGUGCUAAUACCGGAUAAUGUCUUCGGACCCAAGAUUUAUCGCCUUUGGAUGGGCCCGCGUUGGAUUAGCUGGUUGGUAGGGUAAAAGCCUACCAAGGCGACGAUCCAUAGCUGGUCUGCGAGGAUGAGCAGCCACACUGGGACUGAGACACGGCCCAGACUCCUACGGGAGGCAGCAGUGGGGAAUAUUGGACAAUGGGCGAAAGCCUGAUCCAGCAAUGCCGCGUGAGUGAUGAAGGCCGUAGGGUUGUAAAGCUCUUUUACCCGUGAUGAUAAUGACAGUACCGGGAGAAUAAGCACCGGCUAACUCCGUG
rnacentral:rRNA from 1 species